AGCUCAGCGAGGAAGCCGGCCAGCCGCAGGCCAGGGCCUUCCCAGACCCUGCGCUCGGCAUGCAUGCCAUGUUUUUCCAUCCGCCGCGGCAUCCCAUAGCAUGGGGCGGUGGCUCUCUCCAUCGGGGUCUGGGGGCCUCCGUGGUGUCACCCGGGGCGUUCUCGGCGCGCUUCCGGCACCGGCGCCGCGUCCGCCCACACGGCCCCACCUGGGAGACGCCGGACGCGCCGCGCACAUGCACGGCGGGGCCGGUUCGCAUGCAUCUCCUCGCGCCCCCUUCGCCCACCGCCCCUGCUCUGCUGGCCUCUUCUUGCCCUGUUCGGGUGCGAUGCGCCAUAUGCCAGCGGUGCCCGACAGCGUGUGCGCACAGCGCCCGCGUCCCGGCGCCUGACCCAAGACAACGCCGUUUUCUAGCAGGCCCGCUGUCUUCGCCCCCGCACCCGCCGACACCACGAGAAGGGGGGGGGGGGGGGGCGUUGCCGCCAGCCUGCGGCCGCAGAGGAGCCCCACCCACCCACCCCCCGGCCCGCACGCCUUUGAGAGGGAGCCGGGCGCGUGGCAGGCGAAAGGGGCCCACGCACACGCACGCACCAGCGCACAGGGAACCCGCCGCGCGCCCCCCCCGCAGAGGCACGGGAGGGGGCAGCCCAUGCCGCGCGAGCGAGGCGCGCGCAACAAGGUCAGCGCGCGCAGGAUCAUAGCGUCAGACGGGGUGCGCUUUCAGCCGCCAGCGAUCCGCAAACCCCGCGCAGCGUACCGGCCACAACGCCGGUUCGGUCUCCCACAUGGCAAAACAGGUCGGGGCCGGGGCUCUGGCGAGGGCGGGGGCCACCACAGCGCCAGCGGAGCCGCAGGCAGCAACACCGCCCCCGCCCCACGCCGCCACCGCCAGCCACCCGCCGCUGCGGCAACCCGGUGCACCCGGACAAGCGCCUGCGCGGGAGUAGGCAAGCGCGGUCUCCCGCCGCCUCGUGGGCCCAAGCAUCCCUGCACAUUCGUGCGGGACCGCGGCCGCCAAGGAGCCCCCGCCGCAGCGCGUGGCGCCGUGCAGCGCGGUUUCGGGGGAUGCCGGCCUGGCGUCUGAGACCGGCGGCCAACCCCGCGAUCCACGCAGUUGGCGUCAGCGCCCCCACUGGCUUGGCAAACUUGCCGGCGUCGCCCUCUUGCCCCAACACACAGUCACCAGAGACAAGCGGAAGCAAGGGGCGCGCGAGAGAGGCCAGCAGCGCCAGCAGCUGCGCCCCAAUGCGCCGCACCAUUCCCCCGAAGCGAGCAAGGGUGCCCCGCACAUAGGGAGAGCCAUUGCCUGCGCGCCGCUGGCCUUUUCUAAUUCAAAGAGUUUGCCAAACGCCUUGAAUGAGUUGGCGCGUCGAAGUAGAUGCGACCGCUGCGCAUGAGGAGUUUUUUCCCGGCUGCUUUGAGGGGAUCGAUGUCCGCAUACGCGCGCCAAAGCCGCCGAAGUAUUCUGAGGACACUUUUCGCAGUUGUGUGACCCUCAUCGCAAAAUGCGCACGAUGGUUUUUUCAGGCACUCUAGCCUGCAGAAGCGGCCGUGCGCGGGACAGCGGCGUUAUGAAGCAAUUGGGAAAUAAGAUCGUUCUCUCCGGGCGGGGGUCUUUCAUGUGUGCGUUGGGUGGCGACAGCCAUGAUUAGAGAUGCCGUAGCCCAAGGGUGUUCGGGGUUUCUUCCUCAGCAAACGCGGGCCCUUUCUUUUUACCACUAAGAAAACAGGAACGGGGAUCCGUUGGCAGGGCCACCUCUGCGAGGAGGCCGCCCCCGCCCCGGACGUCUGGUUGAGGAGAUUCCGACGACCCCGAAAGCGCGCCAGCCCACGCCGCGCAUUUUUUCUUGCUUUAAGUCGCGCGGAAAAAUAAAUUGCCACCCGCUUACGGCCCGUAGGUGACGCAAGCGCGGCUGACCGCAGUGAUUCCGCCACUGGGCGCGGUUUCCCUCUGAAAAAAGGUCCCCCUCAUGGACCACCCCAAGCAAAGUAAAAGAAAUGCGGUGGGGCGCGCACGGGGUCUAUUGAUCACGGGGAAUAAAGAUGAGAAACAACAUCUCCUAAAAGCACGUUUCCUCCGGAGCGCCUCCCCAGGCACCCUACCCCACCAAAACGCAACCGGAGUAUACAGCAAGCGCUUCAGCAAGAUCAACGUGGCGCCACGCAACCCUACCAACCAACCCCCUUUUCCAGCCUUUUUCCAACGACGCAAAAGCAGAAACAGCAACCAUACGAAAAAAAAAUAUAUGAAUUGGUGAACCUGAAAUGAUUUAACUCAAAAUUCUUCAGUGCCGCGACCAACCGAGCCAAAGGCGUGAGCGUCGAGUCCACAAACGCCGCCCCUAUCGUGGCGCCUGGCUGGUGCUGGGCCGCCGUGCGGGAGAGCAAGCCCGCGCGGUCUGCAGUGGAGCGGCGGGGACGGAAGCCAGGCUGCCGUGGCUGGAGCUUGUCUCCCAGAUGGUCGCGCAGUCGUCGCGAGGUCCGUUACUCAUGUGGGUUGCGCAGACCACGGGUCAGUGCCGCAGGAACGGUGGGGAGGGGGGGGGCGGCGGGAUGUCGCGCCGGCGCCCGCUGGCGCAUCUUUGUCAAGAUGUUUGCCUGCUCUUCCACGCCGGGGUGGGUGUUACCUUGUCCCGCCGCUGGUGUGAGCAGCGCGCGGGCGCACGGGCGGCCCGCACGCACGCCCAUGGCCGAGGGCGAGGGCGUUGCAGGGCACCCUCCCACGAGCGGCUGCCCGUCGCGCCAGUUUUGACCCCCGCAAUCGUCUAUAAGCGGGUGUGCCGGGUGGGGCGGCAUUCCCGGCGGCUGCCGCAAGCAGAUGCCAACAUUGCUCCAUACUUCGGUUAUACUUUGUGGUUGUGUGCGUGUGUCUGUGGUGGUGCUGCGGUCUUGCGGUGGGUGUGGCUGCGUGGGAGAUUUCGCUUCCCUCCAUGGCGCGUUUUCGAGUUGUCUUGGUGCUCGGGGUCCGUGCGGCACUCUGAUGCUCGCGCGUCUUCGCUUCCUCGCCGCUGCGGUGGGCACGGCGUUUUGCGGGUCGGUUCGCCGAUGCGGGCGCGGUGCGGUCUUCCGUUAAAUUUUCGGAAAGGGCGCCAUGGGGGCGUCAGUCGUUACUGGCAGCGAACGUGCCCGUGCGGUGGUCGCCCGGUGCCGCGGCGCCGUCCCCGUGGCUCCGCCUGCGCUGUGCCGCGGGGGUGUCCCCACCGUUUGCCCAUGCCAGGCGCGCGUCACCGGAUAGCCCGCGCGGGGUGGUUCUGGCCCGGCCGAGUCGUUUUCCCCGCCCCACCCCAAGCAACGCGGGGACCGGGCGCCACAGCGCUUUGCAUUCGGUCCGGGGCUUCCAGCGUGGCAAGGGCGCCCCCGAGUAUGUAGCCGGACGUCCGCUACAUCCGCCCAGCGGGGUCGCCGCAGCAAAGCCAGGCGGCCGCUGCUGCAAUUUCGUCCUUUGGAAUAGGGGGCACGCCCAUACGCCGGCCCCCUCGUAUGCGCACUGGGGCGCCACCGCCGCCACCCCCCCCGAGCUUGCCACGCCAGGGCGCCGAAAACCCCGGGGGACCACGUGCCGUGCAGAUCUGUGGGGGUGUAAACGCUUCUCUUGCGGAAGACAGAUUUGUACCGGGGAUUCGCAUAGGAGUCGGGCCAACCAGCCCCGUUUGAGGUCGCUCAGACCGCUGCCAUUCCACGAUGUACAGCGUAGGCGGGGCACAGGGCUACGCGCAGCGCCGCCGCGGUGCAGCAAAAGAAGCAAGAAAAAUAUGUAGGUGAGUGCACAUGCUAGUCGAACCAUCGAGAGGAUUCAUAUCGAGACGGUGCGAACGCGAUCAUAACGGCGAAACUUCACGGCACAUCGCCGCCUCAGGCAUUUCCGCCGACACCGCGAGUCCGCGGCCGUACCCGAGGACAGGCCGCAGGCUCUCGGCUUCCACGCGGGGUGGUUGUCGCACCCUGACCCCCCCCGGUCACGGGUGCGCAAAAGGUUUUGAAGGUGGAGUCGCAGAGUGGUUAGGGAAUCUGCUCGGGCACGAGAGGGCUUGGUAAGUAUAGCUGCUUUCGUCAACGGCGCCAUAUUUUUCGGGGGAACAAAGGUGUGCAAAAGGUGUGUUUUUGGUGCUGUUUCUGGAGAGCAGGCGCGCAACAAUGUGUGAGUAGUGAAGAUCCCCUCUUUGAGUGCUGAAGGUUCACACCGCGCGUACGGAAGGGUCGAGUUUUUUUUUUGUCAACGGAACCAAGGUGUUUCCAUGGCGGGUGUGAAUUGUUAGUGUGAGCGGGGCUUGGUGAGGCGGGUGGUGUUAGAGGGUGUGUGGCGGCGUUAUAUAGUUUCUGAAAAUUUUUUGCUGACGCGGCGCGUGUACAGACCGAGCUCCUGCGCGUGAGGUGGCUAGAACCUUUGUGGCGCUUAUUGUUUCAAGUCGUUGUCAAAAACUAAACCAGCUUUCUUAAAGUACGUUUCUGGUUUUCAAAGGUAGCCUUUCCGUCGCAGCAGUUAAAGUUAACAUCUAGUGGUGGUGUGGGCGUUUUUUUUUCGGCAUGCGCAUCGGGGGGGGGGGAUCGGCUGGGGUGUGUGGGCGUCGCGGCGCUUCGGGGUGUGUGGAAAAAGCGGGCCGUGGCCCCAUGGCCGCCGAAUGGCGUGCGGGGGCGCCGAGCGGCAAGCCAAACGCCGGCGAGCCCACCAAAACGAGCCGCGGCAGAUAUUGCGAUUGCUGUUGCUCUUUGGCCUCAUCCACCGCCGCCUGCUUCGCGGAAACGCUCGCGUGGAUGGGGCCAAAGGAACCAGCGUCGGCAAGGUGCUUUCUGGACUUGCUUUUCCUCAAAAUAGGUUGCUGUGGACGGCAUCGGGGCUGUCUCCAUCUUAUGGGAUUUGAAAGGGUGCGCGGCGCCGGUGUGGGGGCGGCGGGCCCGAAACGCUGCAGUUCAGGUAAGCCACCUCGGGGGAGCAGCAAGUUUACUGCCGGCUAAGGUGUCUGCGGCUCAUGUGGCGCUGACUGGGGGGGGAGGAGGUAUAGUUUCUCUCACGCUGAGUGCUGCCAAUGUGGCUCAGUUAUUGCAGCGGGGACAGGAAAGUUUAACCGCAAGUGGGCCAAGUGAAGCAAUAGCGGUGGGGGGAUGCAGGCUUCUGUUUCGGGUUUUUUCUCGAUUUUUCUGCUUUCGGCGACCUGAGGGUGUCGUAUUCAAAGGUGCCCGCUGCACAAGAAUACUUGCCUGUUGCUUCCACUGGAGACUAGUUUUUUGGACAGGUUUUCUCAGUAUCGCAAAGGGAUGGCAAGAGGGUCAACUGUGUAUUGGCCUCUUCCAAGGGAAAAGUUCAGCAUUGAAGAGAGCCGCCACGAUACGCCGAAACAUCUGUCAUGUGCUGCCUUUGCAUGGGUGCUUGUCUAAUGUUUCUCUGCAGGUGAUGAGAAAUAAGGAGUGAGUUGAGAUGAAGUGGGAAAAACUUUCCCUUAAAGAGGGGACAAAAAAAAAAAGAAACCGCGCAGUCGCGGGAAUGUAUUUUGUACACAAAUAACCGGAGGGCUCGUUAGCACUCUUUCAAUUCUCUCAUUCAAAUUGAUGGCACAUACGUGUUUAUUGCAGCAGGUCGCUGCAACGCCAUGCCAUCCAGGACCUGACCACUGACCUCUAGCGAUAAAUCGUUCUGUAUCCUCGACGUCGUAGGUACUUGACCUUGUCGCCACCAGAGGUGCUUUGGGAUCGGCAGGGGAUAGGAGCUGACUAGGUUCCCUCACGGAGAGAGUGGGCGCUGGACCCCGAUACCACGCACUGAGGUGCCUUCCGUCAUUAGGUGAGCACAUAUCAUGCGAACUACAGUAAUGUGAUCACUUCGCGUCGUGGCGGUUUCAACAACGCAAGCCAAUUUCUGCAUCAGUCUCGCUUUGAAUAGAGUGUCAAUGUGAGGACUAUUCAGGGAAGAUCAGUUUUUCUUUUCAUAGUUGGCGUCUACUCGUCGUUCUUUCUGAGUCCGCGCUGGUGAUGUCUGCUGUGUUGUAGUUUUCCGAGCCUAAAGACAAAGCACUCUUCAGGUUCCUCGCCUCAUCAAAGUUUUCCUCCAUUUUCUAACUUCUCUCCCGCUUUUUUUUCUAUCGCCUUUAUAAUCUGAGUGCCUUUUCGCUGGACUUGGAACUGUAG
rnacentral:misc_RNA from 1 species